ACCCGAUGACCAGCUCACGUAAGUGCUCUCCGUCCACGCCAGUGCACAGACAGCCAUGGCAGCAAACUGGCUGCUGCAGGUUAGAGUGAAAGGAUUGUCUGGGCAAGCAUGAGGGAGAAAUGUGGACACCAUAUCUGAUCUCUGGUCAAGGUAAGAGAAGGAUCUGCAAAAGCCAUGCUGGGAAGGUGAGAUGGCAAGAAAAAUCAGGAGCUUCCACAGCACAGUAAGUACUAGCAGGGCUGCUGAGGGGAACAGCCGAGCUGGGUUGAAGGUCUGGGGUCUUGCAGCAAACUAAGAAACUUGUCUCCUGUCCUACAGUGCUGAGCUGAUGUGUGACUCUUGCCAAGGGGCACUGAGGCUGAGGAUCAGUGAGGGAGGUGGGUCUUUCUGGCAGAUCCUAUGGGGUAUAUGAGCUGGAUACCGGAGAGACGCUUCACCUUCAGUUCUGCCUGACUGCCCCAUGGCAAGAUGACCUUGUAGACACUUCUACCGCCAAUCAGUUUCUGGAUUUCAUCACACAUACUCCAAGGCCAAGGGCAGUUCUCCCAAGUGAGAGUCAUUUCACAGAUACCACCUAAUGAUGACAAAAAAAUGUAAAUUGCAUUGUGGAAAUGCUCAGGUGCCUGAAAUGUGUCUCAGACUAUAAGGAAUCAGAAAGCUUCUCUAGGGGCUGUCCAGAUUGAAAGAGUACAGCAAGUCCUGAUGGUCCCUUGUCUGCUUCUCGUAGGCUUUCCUGGACAUGCCUCUUCCUGCUGCACACCCUUCCCGUGGAGCUGAGCGCACUACCAGCAGAUCACAUUGCACCUGUGGAUGAUGUCAGCCCAGACACCUGUGCUUGACCUCCAAGCAGGUUGGCUCAGCUGCUCUGCUGUGCGGUCUGUCCCCUGCAGUCCUGGCCUUCCCCGUGGGACUGGAUCGUCUCCGGGCUGGAGAGACGCCCUGUCCACACCCGGACCAACACACGCACAUCUGGAGCCCUGCUUGUUGCUGGAGAGCCCUCUCUCGUUGUGGGGCUCCGGAGGCAGAUGGCCGAGACUUUCACUCUUCUUGGGCCGAGGAAAAUACACGUUUAAAGCUUCCUGCAAAGAAAGUAAGAAAAAGCCAUAAAAUGAGAGCAGCCCUUGCCAACCCCGUCUGUCCUCUACUUACGUCAGCCCUUUCUGAUUCCUGCCAGCCAGCUACAU